rnacentral:rRNA from 1 species
GACAGAGGUGGCGAGCGUUGUCCGGAAUUACUGGGCGUAAAGGGCGCGUAGGCGGUCGUGUGCGUCGGAGGUGAAAUCCCCAGGCUUAACCUGGGAACUGCCUCCGAUACGGCAUGGCUUGAGUCCGGGAGAGGGGAGCAGAAUUCCCAGUGUAGCGGUGAAAUGCGUAGAUAUUGGGAGGAAUACCAGUGGCGAAGGCGGCUCCCUGGACCGGUACUGACGCUGAGGCGCGAAAGCGUGGGUAGCAAACAGG